GGCCCUCGAGGGUAAGAUUUGAAUAACCCUGUUGUAGGUCUGUAGAAGGGGUGUCCAAACUCGGUCCUGGAGGGCCGAUAAAAUUGGAAUGAACCAUCUGAGUGCAGGUCUACGAAACCUUCACUCUACUUGUGCAAUAUGCAGAUUGAAAGAAAAUAUUGGUGUAUAAAAUAAUUACAAUUAUUUUACAAUUUAUUUGGCAAAAUUAUAUUCUCAGCAGACAUAACUUCGUCAGUGUCACAUGACCUUUUGGAAAUCAUCCCAAUAUUCCAAUUAAUCUUAAUCAAACUUUUAGCCAGUAGUGUUUUUUAUGUUAAUGAUUUUGUAGGUGUUUAACAUGCUGAUUAAACUUGAAUUGUGUUACCUUAUUUUAUAAAAUGUAUUUUUGACAGGUCUAAAAAUACAAAGUACAGCCCAAAAAAUAUAUAAAAAAAUGUAAUUUAAUUUUGCAAUUAAAAAAAAAGAAGACAAGGCCGAAAUUUUUUUGCAUGCAUCAACCUGCAUUGUAACAUAUUGAGGAAAAAAAUGCUGUUUCAGCUUAUUCAUUCAAACUGACACUCAUUUUCAUGCAGAACUGGACUGAUCAAAGCUUUGUUGUCGCGUAUAUUGAAGGAGACCACAGGAAACAGAACUUGACAGCUUAUUUGUUCAAACAAAUUAAAAAUGUUCUCCUUUGAUCCAGCUGUACCAGAAACCAAAAUCAAUGAAGGACAAGUAUGAUCCAACCUCACUGAUUACAUAAUUACAUAAUAAUUCAAUUAUAUAAUAAUUCAGUGGUUGCUUUACCUGAAAUGCAUGGUAAUCAAACACAGCAGUUAAGUAAAAAAAGAAGCAUGAUGAGUGUUAAUGCAUGACUUUUCUGACACACAUAAUCAGAAUGUGCUGAAGUACAACAUCUAAUUAUGGCACUGCAAACAUCCCUGCAUCUGAAAAGUGCAAGAAGAUCAAAGUUUGUUUGUGAAUGAAGAUUUAGGAGGAGAUUAUGAGACCAGUGUCAUGGAGCUGUUGUUGACCUUUUUCUAAAAAUCCAUCCAUAUGUGUUACAGAUCCAAAAUGCACCCCCCGCCCCCCAAUUAAAUAAUGGUUUUCUCAGGCAAAAUAAUGGUUUUCUCAGGUGAAUCAUUACAGAAAGAAAGGCGGGUUAUAUUUAUAAAGAACUUGUUUCGUAAGGAAACCAUCUGUUUCUGAAGCCAUUUAAAGCAGCUCAUUUUAAAUGCAUUGCAUCCUUCAAGUGAAGGACAAGUGAUUGUGACCCGCUAAGUGCGUCACUAGAAGUUUUUGACAUCUGUAUAUUACAGCAUCUUUGGAAAAUGAUUUUAUUCAAGAUUUGGUUUAAGUGCAGCUUUUAGAAGCAUUUGAAUUUUAGGUAAGCUUUUUGGAAAGCUGACAUAUUUUUGACUUCUGAUCCUAUUAGAAAUGUUGAACAAGCGAUAUCACACAAGCGCUGUUGUUCUGAAUAUUACAGGAAAUCACAAUGGCACUGAUAUUCAGAACCAACCAUAUGGUCGCGAGUGCGAUAUUUAUUUUAUACAGCAGUUCAAUAAACGAGAACUUCAUAUUGAGUAACUUACAUUUUAGACAGAAUAUUGCCGGUUUCCUUUGCUGUAUUUUCACUCUGGCAACUAACAAAUUCCAAAUGUUAUCGAAACAGAAUCAGCUGUUGGGUCACUUAGCAGUGGUAUGUUUCAUUCCAGACUGAAUUUAGAAUUAAUUGGUUACGUAAAUGAUUCAAUGACUCACUCAUAUAGAUGGUAACUAGUUUCACUCCUGAAUGAAUCUUUGUAGUUGAACAAAUCAGUCGAAUGAAUAAAUCAAAGUUUCACUCAUAAAGACAGUUGUUGUCACAGACUGGGGUAACAAUAUAACCUGAAGAAAAAUCCCCACCACUAAUACUGUCUAGAUAAGCAGAUAAGCAGAGUACUGCUAGCACUGAAAAGUUCCUCUGCUGUUACUAGGCCCAAUUUACACUACAUAGUUCAAGUGACCCAAUUCUGAUCUGAUAUGAAUCGGAUAUGUUUAUUUGUGUCUGCCAUGUAAAUGGACAGAUCAAAUAAAUGAAAUGGUGGAUGAAGGCUCAUCAAGUUUCAUGUCAAGCAAAAGCUUGCAUUACCAUUUCAUCUGCCUCCAUUGCAAAUCACGCCAUAUUUACUUAAUUUUUGGUUUAAAGUUUUUCCAGGUCAGUAUGUGUAUAGUAUAAAUGCAGUUCUGUCAUCCCUUACCAAAAAGUAGUAUACUUCAAGUUUAUUUUAUUAAGUAUACUUAAGUAUAGUUCAAGUAUAUUUUGACUUUUUGUAAGUAUAAGUCAAGUAUACUUAAAUGUCAUUUUAAGUAUAUUUCUGAGAAGUACAUAAAGCCCAUUUCUGAGAAGUACAUAAAAAGUAAACUAAAAGCAUACUUUCCUAUUUUUUUUUUUAAAAGAAGUAUACUAAUAGCACACUUGAAUAAACUUCUUUUUCAUAAGGGAUGACAACUCUCGGAGGGAUUGGCAUGGUAAUGUACAUGACAAUGUUAAUGUAUUGGGUCUUGGCGGAAUAGAUCUGCUACUCUGCUGCUGCUGCGGCAGAGCAAGUACCUAGACUUGCUACUGCCAAUACAUCCACAACAUGCUGCUGUGAGCAUGUAAGAAAUAUCGCUGCUGCAAAUAUAACAUACAUGAAAUAACCCCAUAGCAUACAUGAAUCACCUUGUAGCAGAUCUAUACAGGUGGAGCUGGGGGAGGUGGAGGGUUUCUGAAGCAAGCUGCACUGCUACGUUAAGCUCUAGUCAUAUAUUUGAAUGUUGAGCAGUGAGCUCAUUGGCUACCAAUACAGGAGCGAUCCAAUCAGCUGUGACAUGUGAUAAUGAUGUCAUUAUGUCAUUAUGGGGAAGUCGUGGCCUAAUGGUUAGAGAGUCGGACUCCCAAUCAAAGGGUUGUGAGUUCGAGUCUCGGGCCGGCAGGAAUUGUGGGUGGGGGGAGUGCAUGUACAGUUCUCUCUCCACCUUCAAUACCAUGACUUAGGUGCCCUUGAG
ensembl:lncRNA